rnacentral:ribozyme from 1 species
AAACACCAUUAUUGUUCUUCGGAUUUGUUUUUUUUUUUCUUUUCUUUUCUUUUUUUAAAAAAA